rnacentral:misc_RNA from 1 species
GAAAUGCGAUACGUAAUGCGAAUUGCAGAAUUCAGUGAAUCAUCAAAUCUUUGAACGCAAAUUGCGCUUUCGGGAUAGGCCUGGAAGCACGCCUCUUUGAGUAUCGAUUCCACCACAAUCAACAACGUACUUAGUGCUGUUGUUGGAUACUGAGUAGACAAUCUCGAAAGGGACUGCUACUUUAAAUGACUAAGUUCUCGAGGCCUUGUGAAGUCUGUUAAUUCAGAUAGCUCCAACAGCAGUGACUGUUGUGCCGCUAGUGACAUGGAUAAUUUCGUCUUGUGCGAAUCUUCCAAAUGUGACUAGUAGGUGCAUCAAGACUACAUGUUGUAGUGAACGCACAAGCUUCAAGUACAGAACUAACUGAAAGUCUGGAAUGGCUUUCAAUUCUUGAAUUAGA